UCCGAGUUGACCCCGGCAGUCUCCCAUGAGUCCCCGGCAUAACCCGCUGGCAACACAGGACAAGGGUUGCGCUCGUUGCGGGACUUAACCCAACAUCUCACGACACGAGCUGACGACAACCAUGCACCACCUGUCACGCGCCCAAAAAGGACCCCCCAUCUCUGGAGGUUUUCACGUGAUGUCAAACCCAGGUAAGGUUCUUCGCGUUGCAUCGAAUUAAGCCGCAUGCUCCGCCGCUUGUGCGGGCCCCCGUCAAUUCCUUUGAGUUUUAGCCUUGCGGCCGUACUCCCCAGGCGGGGCGCUUAAUGCGUUAGCUACGGCGCAGGAACCGUGAACCAGUCCCCACACCUAGCGCCCAACGUUUACAGCGUGGACUAC
rnacentral:misc_RNA from 1 species